GAGACAGAAUGUCAGUUUUGAAAUAUAGGAGUUCGAGAUUAGAAACCUAAUACUUUUGUUAUGAAUUAUGCUAAAACGGUAAAAAAAUUUUCAAAAUAUAGUUGUCUCAAAUACACUCUUCUCAGAUAACAGAAGGCCAGGCAAGGGCACUGACUUGAAGGGAAACAAACCACAGUAAUAUGACUGCCUGAAAGUAACUAUGGAAUUCAGUUUCUCAAAGUGAUUACUUCUUCUAAUCUUCAUAUUGAUGACUCACUAGUACAUUUACUUUGAUGGGUUUAAUCAACUCUGAUAACAUAGUUCCAAACACUUAAAAGGACCUGAUUUAUGUAUUAAAUAAAGGUUAAUUUGUUCUUGAGAAAUUGACAAAAGAUUUGGUCAAACGUAAAUGAAUAUGCAAUAAGUCACAUAAGUCUGUGUGUAUAUACAUAUAUGACUUUAAUUUUAUAAGUGCAUGUGUAUACGCACACCUUUAGCUCAUUUAAAUAAAAAGCUAUCCAAUGUUUUAUGUCCAUUAUGUCCCCCGUUAACAUUGAGCAAAAUGUUAACCCCUACUAUAUAUGCAAGGGAAAUAAAUUAAGUUGUUAUAUAGAAACCCUUGACACUAUAUGCAAUUUCUUAUGUCCCAUAUUCUGAUAAUAUCUGUCCUCUUGGCUCUUACUUCUUGGAAUUUCUCAUAAACACGGAAGCUUCAUGACAAAUUGUGUAAAUCAUCAUUUCCUCCUUUAUGAAGUAUAUUGAAGACAAAAGGGAUUAAAGUCAUUUCACAUUUAGCAAAGCUAUUUUAUGGCAACAUUGUUACAACACAAAAUAGACAUUGCAGUUUACAAUUAACAAUUACACAGUGAUUUCAUAACAAUACUACUUACUCCAAUUAACAAAAUAUUUCUUUAUAAAAAAUAUGUUCAAAAGGAGGUUUACAUUCACUUCUUCGUUUAAUAUCAAGGUUGUUAACAAUGGUCUUAGGAGAUGCAAAGACGAAAAACUACUUACCUUAAAAAUCUGUAUUCUUGAAGAUAUAUACUCCACUUGAAUAAGAUACUGCUCAAGGUUUAGGCUUCCUGGAGAACUCAGAGGAUUUUGUAGUUGUACUUAAUAUACUCAAUAGCCAAAUUUCCUAAACUUUCAUAAUUUUGCUAACCAAGGGCCCUUAACAAAGUUAAAAGACACCACAGGGUUCAAAAGUGAACAAAUAUGUUGUUUUUGUUUUAAGACGGAGUCUCAUUCUUGUCACCUAGGCUGGAGUGCAGUGGCGCAAUCUCUGCUCACUGCAACCUCCAUCUCCCGGGUUUAAGUGAUUCUCACACCUCAGCCUUCCGAGUAGCUGGGAUUACAGGCGCGCGCCACCAAGCCCAGCUAAUUUUUACAUUUUUAGUAGAAAUGGGGUUUCACCAUGUUGGCCACGCUGGUCUCAAACUCCUGACCUCAAGAGAUCCGCCCGCCUCGGCCUCCCAAAGUGCUGGGAUUACAGGCAUGCGCCACUGUGCCUGGUCACAAAUAUGUUAAUGAGCCAAUUAAGAUGGUGCUGCUCAAAUGAUUCUAAUUCAGGAAACUUAGGUUGCAGCUAGGUAAUCUCUAGUUCUCUAAAGAAUAAUACCCAAAUGACAGGAUUUAUGUGUUGAUGCAAUAAUAGCUCAGUCUGUUUCAUGACCUAGCUAGAGUCAGAAUUGGAGCGGUGGCUAUAGCACAGGGGUGGCUUUCUCCUCUCUGAAGGAAAAGUAAAGAAGUAAGAAGAAAGAGGUUGAAAGAACAGCCUACACAGUUGUUGCCCAGAUCUCAAAAUUAGCAACAAGUAUGUCAGCUGUCCUAAUUAUUACCAAACAGGUCCUGGGAGUGUCUGACACACAACAUAAUAUAGGUGCAAUCAGUUCCAGAAUCUGGUUCCUGGAUCUGAACUAAUUUAGCUAUAAGACCUUCAGCAAGACCAUCUCUAUGGCCUGCAUCUCUCUCCUAUAGGUUUGACAAAGAUUCACCUAUGAGUUUGAUGAAGACAGGCUAGGUAUGGCCCUCAAUAAGAAUUUAUUCUGACUGGGAGAUUUAAAACUGUAAAUAUUUGCCCUGAAGGGCCCUAGAGCAUUUCCUCUUCCAUGCAGAGAAUCAGAAAGCUUGGAUUCUAGCUCUAGCUCCCAACAAUUAGCUGUAUGUAAUUGAUGAUGGGUGACUUCAUUAGUGUCAAAGCCAAAGCAUAUUCUCUGUCAGCUUUUCAAAAAAACACGCAGUAAAGAGAGAUUCCUACCAGGAAAACUUUGAUGGGUGUUUUUCAAGUGUCAUCUCACAGCAGAAGAUGCCCCAAGUGGUCAAACCUUGCCAACAGCUUCAAAAAAAGGUAACUAGGAUUUAACUUUACGGUGCAUUUUGAUGUUUCCCUUUGUGUCAUAUCUGAUGAUAAAAGAACCUUAAAAAAAAAAAAAAAAAACACUAUCCAGCUUCUCCAUUCUGUCUCCUGCUUUACUUUCUCUUGUUUACAAAAUACAAAUUUAUAGCUGGAUUUGAUGCUGAAAAUUUAAUACAGUUACCUCAUGUCACAGAUAAAGAACAGAAAUGACUUGACCAAGUUCAC
rnacentral:lncRNA from 10 species